rnacentral:tRNA from 1 species
UAGACAUAGUUUAUAAAAAUUCUAGCCUGUGACCCUAGAGAUGAGGACUAACACUCCCCUGUCUAUC